rnacentral:rRNA from 1 species
UGCCAGCCGCCGCGGUAAUACGAAGGGUGCUAGCGUUGUUCGGAAUUACUGGGCGUAAAGGGUACGUAGGCGGUUUGGUCAGUUAGAUGUGAAAGCCCAGGGCUCAACCUUGGAACUGCAUUUAAUACUGCCAGACUUGAGAUCGGAAGAGGAAAGCGGAAUUUCUAGUGUAGAGGUGAAAUUCGUAGAUAUUAGAAGGAACAUCAGAGGCGAAGGCGGCUUUCUGGUCCGAUACUGACGCUGAGGUACGAAAGCGUGGGGAGCAAACCGGAUUAGAUA